rnacentral:lncRNA from 1 species
AUUUGUGGGGUGAGGGGACGUAUUUGUGGGGUGGGGGAAUGUAUUUGUGGGGUGAGGGGUUAUAUUUGUGGGGUGAGAGGAUGUAUUUGUGGGGUGGGGGAGUCCCUAACGGCGUCCCCCGGCAGGUGCAACACGCAGGACUACACGUGGCACAAGGGCACGCGCUGCGAGGCCAUCGUCACCGACUUCCAGGUGAUGUGCGUGGCCGUGGGCUCGGCCGCCCUGGUGGUGCUGCUGCUCUUCAUGCUCACCGUCUUCUUCGCCAAGAAGCUCUACCUGCUCAAGACGGAGAACAGCAAACUGCGCAAGACCAAAUACCGCACCCCGUCCGAGCUGCACAACGACAACUUCUCCCUCUCCACCAUCGCCGAGGGCUCCCACCCAAACGUAAGGAAACUUCGUGGCACUGUCCCCCCCCUCUCCCCGUCCCCCGUCCCCUCCCUGCUUGCCAUCCUACCCUUGUCCCUCUGUCUGUCCACCCCCGCCUCCAUCCCAUCCCUGUCUGGGUGACGGUGUCACCACCAAGCCCCUCCGCACCCUCCUGUCCCCAUCCCACCGUGGCCACCAUCCCAUUGCUAUCCGGACCUUCCCUGGUGACCCAAACCAGGCCAGGCGGGGGUGGGGGGGGUUGGUGUCACCCCGCUGUCCCCCUGCCCCGUCCCCUCCUUGCCCACGUGGCACCCCGGGGAGCCACCCUCCGGAGUUGCCCGGUGGCUUUGUCUCCACGCACGGGUGGCAGGGAGGCGUUGGGGGACACCCGGCGCCGCGUGGCUCCGGCAGACGAUGCUGGAGGGUGAAACACCCCGAGAUGCUCCUGGUGUGGUCAAGUUGUGUGUGUGUGUGUGUGUGUGUGUGUGUGUGUCCCAAAAAAAACCACAAAAGGGCUGCCCCACCAACCUCCUCUCUUUCGAAUCGGCACAGAGAGAAGCGAAGGGCUUUGCCGAGCGCGAGCCGCAGGAGGAGCGUAGGUCCCUCUAAGCCUUUGCCGUACCCCCACCGCCGGGUUUUCGCCCCCCCCAAACCCCGUCUUUCGACCGCCUGUAGCAGCCGUAGCCUCCGGAGCCGUCUCGCUCCCCGCUGCCGAGAGGAUGAACCUCGGGAUGAAUCCGGGUGCCGUUCCCCGGCGUCCCCUUCGGGAUGCCACGGGCUCGGUCCCGGGAUGGGACCUGGGUGCUCGGAGACGCAGCCGAAACGAUGGAUGUGAAACCCCUGGGGGAAAAAGGGGUUUGUUUGGUUUUUUUUUUGGGGGGUGGGGGGACGACGCGUGGAGCAGCCCCUGCGCCGGGCGAGGAGCUCAGUGCUCAUCCCGUGGGGUUUCCCGUUGUUGGAGCGUCACCCCGGAGCAGCUGGGGGUCACCCGUGGGACCAUUGUCCAGAAGAUGGAGGUUUCCCAUCCCCGUAAGAGCUGCUCCUUGGGGGUGUGUCCCCCCCCCCCUUUCCCCCCCGCCGCUACGAUGCCACGGCUCAUCCUGCCCCAACGGCGACACCGGGACCGUCCGUUUCCCAACGCAGCCGGAGCUCGGCCCCGGUGCCGGCGGAGCCGCUCUCCCCACGGAUGCGGGACAAACUCGGGGUGCAGCCCAGCCCCCGGGGAGGUGGGGGGGGGAGAGAAGAAGAUGCUCCGGGGGGACACGGGGAAGAGGCAUCCCCGGCUCUGACGCGGGCGGCGGGGCCGGCUGUACGCUAACGAACCGCAAUAAAUCCAACCCCACGGGCCUCCUGCCA